rnacentral:misc_RNA from 1 species
GAUGAAGAACGUAGUGAAAUGCGAUAAGUAAUGUGAAUUGUAGAAUUCAGUGAAUCAUCGAAUCUUUGAACGCACAUUGCGCCCGCUAGUAUUCUGGCGGGCAUGCCUGUCCGAGCGUCAUUUCAACCCUCAAGCCCCCGGGCUUGGUGUUGGGGAUCGGCGAGCCUCCGCGCCCGCCGUCCCCUAAAUCUAGUGGCGGUCUCGCUGUAGCUUCCUCUGCGUAGUAGCACACCUCGCACUGGGAAACAGCGCGGCCACGCCGUUAAACCCCCAACUUCUGAACGUUUGACCUCGGAUCAGGUAGGAAUACCCGCUGAACUUAAGCAUAUCAAUAAGCGGAGGA